AUAUAAAUUAUUAUAAUUUCAACUCGUGAUUAAGAAGACGAGUGGCCUAGGCUAGUGGCCUCCAUUGCACAUAAUGGAGGGGUGCUUAGCUUAAGGUCUUCCCAUGAGGAAGAGUCUGCGUCAUUACUUGUGGCAGAGGGAGUUUGCCUUUGCGCAACCCCUAA